CUUAGGAAAUCAAUUCCAGGAGGCACAGAGAGAUGAGGGAGCGAAAGGGACGCGCAAACUUCACGCACAAGGACCUACACUGCACUACAUAAUUGCAGCGCUGCUUCUCUUGGGAGGCUCACGCACCAGCGCCAAGAAGAACCAAAACCUUGUCCCGGAUCCUCGGUUUUUCCUCAGGCCUUAGCGUCGGUACCUGGAGCGAUAUCGAUGGCGCGAUGCGGCGGUGGCGACUCGUUGUCGCGGAGGGUGCACCAGGAGACCGUGGAGAGCCUCUGCCAGGGGCUGCUCGGCCUCGACGACGACAAGUUCGGCGCAAUGUGCAGCGCGUUUGGCUACCUCCAGGAGUGGCCGGACCUGAGCGGUGUGUGCGGCACGAAUCUUGGGGCGCCCAGCGCGGCGGCACAGGAGACCUGCAACGGAAACGACUCCACCUCUUGCAGCGGCAGCGGCAGCGGCGGCGGCGGCGCCGGCGGCUUCAGGAAGAGGAGACUGGAAGCUUACCUCGAUGCAAAGGGUGAUGGCAACGACAUGUGCAAGAGACCGAGAGGGAAGCAGCAGCUGGGUGAUCUUGGUGAGAUCGCAGCGCCAGGGAAAGGGAAGCAGGAGAGGCCAAAGGCAGGCACGAAGAAGAAGGCAGAGGUGGCGUCGUCGACAGCGGCGGCUGGCGAUCAGAAGACCGACUACAUCCACGUCAGGGCGCGCCGCGGCCAGGCCACGGAUAGCCACAGCCUCGCCGAGCGGGUGAGGAGGGAGAGGAUCAGCGAGAGGAUGAGGUACCUGCAGGAGCUGGUGCCCGGGUGCAGCAAGGUCACCGGCAAGGCCGGCAUGCUCGACGAGAUAAUCAACUAUGUCCAGUCCCUGCAGAAGCAAGUCGAGUUCCUGUCCAUGAAGAUCGCCGCAUCCAACCCGGUGGUGAGCUUCGACAUCGUUGAGGACCUCUUCGGCAGGCAGCUGAAGCAGGCGUGCAACACUGCAGCUCUGCCUGCGAUGGCUCUGCCGGCUGGGCAGCUGGAGCCGUCCUGCCAUCAGAUGAGCCCCAUGCAGCAGGUGCACCCGUCUGCAAGCUCCCCGGGCUUUGGGUUGGAGAUGGUCGUCAACAGCCCAUACCCGCCGGCAACGGGCGGGCCGGCGUUGGCGGCGCCCGGCGUGUCGAUUGAAUCUUGCCUCAACGUGAAUGGAGCUGCUGCCUGGGACAUUGGCUCCCAGAAUUUGUUCCGUGGAUUUGAUGCACAAUUUCAGUCAGUAGAAAGUGAGUAACUGCUUAUUGAAAGGCCAAGCCUGCAGUUACUCUGCCUCAUGUGAAAUGAAAGAACACGGUAGUGAUUAGAUCAGGGUAAAAUAAAAACACUCCCUGAACAAGCUUACAGUUCAGAAUUCAGGGUGAUUGUUUGCUAGACAACCUCAAAAUGGAAAUGUAAGAAGAAUUAAUCCUCAUUCCUGGAGUUUUAACCACGGCAACGUUUGUGGCUGAAGAUUCUUUAUUCAUAGGAACUGUACUAAUGAAGUAUUUUGUCGGCAAAGGCAAUACAAGUACAUUUCCUGUGUUCUA